AGUGAACGCUGGCGGUAGGCCUAACACAUGCAAGUCGAACGGCAGCACAGGAGAGCUUGCUCUCUGGGUGGCGAGUGGCGGACGGGUGAGGAAUACAUCGGAAUCUACUCUGUCGUGGGGGAUAACGUAGGGAAACUUACGCUAAUACCGCAUACGACCUACGGGUGAAAGCAGGGGAACUUCGGUCCUUGCGCGAUUGAAUGAGCCGAUGUCGGAUUAGCUAGUUGGCGGGGUAAAGGCCCACCAAGGCGACGAUCCGUAGCUGGUCUGAGAGGAUGAUCAGCCACACUGGAACUGAGACACGGUCCAGACUCCUACGGGAGGCAGCAGUGGGGAAUAUUGGACAAUGGGCGCAAGCCUGAUCCAGCCAUACCGCGUGGGUGAAGAAGGCCUUCGGGUUGUAAAGCCCUUUUGUUGGGAAAGAAAUCCAGCUGGCUAAUACCCGGUUGGGAUGACGGUACCCAAAGAAUAAGCACCGGCUAACUUCGUGCCAGCCGCCGCGGUAA
rnacentral:rRNA from 1 species